rnacentral:rRNA from 1 species
CUCCUACGGGGCGUAGCAGUGGGGGAUAUUGCACAAUGGGGGAAACCCUGAUGCAGCGACGCCGCGUGGGUGAAGAAGCGCCUCGGCGCGUAAAGCCCUGUCAGCAGGGAAGAAAAUGACGGUACCUGAAGAAGAAGCCCCGGCUAACUACGUGCCAGCAGCCGCGGUAAUACGUAGGGGGCAAGCGUUGUCCGGAUUUACUGGGUGUAAAGGGGGCGCAGACGGCGAUGCAAGCCAGGAGUGAAAGCCCGGGGCCCACACCCGUGACUGCUCUUGGAACUGCGUGGCUAGAGUGCAGGAGGGGG